CGCGCCCGGCCGCUGCCGCCGGACGCUUGAAAAGGAACAAGAGGAUUUAUCUGACUCAACUGGAGAUGGCUCCCUUCCCUAAUUUAUUGUUGCAUCCUGAAGCUUCCCCCAUGCUGGGCUCAGUGUGAACAAACAGCGCGGGAGAAUGCAACCACUGCAGAGGCAUAUGUUUGAGAUGCCUGGCCACUGGAGGUCAUCUCGUCUACUAUGUUCACCACAGAUAAAGAAUGAAAAGAGAAUAUACAACCUUGUGAUUGCUAGCAGUGAAAGCUCAGAGUUAUGACAUAACAAUUGGUUGGAAAGAACCCAAGGGGACAUGGGCACAGCAUCCCUUCCUGGGCCUCUUCCUCAGGUGGUGCGGGUGGGAAAUCAGGAAGCUCCCAGACAUGGAGCAACUCAGGCGGCAGGCGGCAGGACAAAGGGACCUUCGCACUCGAGAUCAAGAUUCCAAGGAGUUAAACGCUACCACGCAGCCCGACCUGGAUGGGAUUUGCUCCUGGGUACAAAACGGGACACUGAUCAAAAUCAACUUGGACAAGUGACAAGAGUGAGUCUUAUGUCGGUGGAUGUCUUUUAAGGUCGUUGGAGGGAAGAGGACGGGAGGGGUGUGCCGAGGGGUAGGUGGAGAGAGGCACCGAGUCCAGAGCCGGGAUAUAAAUGCACCAGGAGCCGGGGAGCAGAGGAGCAAAUGAGUGGGGGAAAGAGUGAGAGGAAGAGUUGGAGAAAAGUCGGGGGAAAGUAGGGACAGGGUUAAGGGGAGAGAGGAGGAUGAGGGCGGCGAGGAGAGAUUAAAAGGGGAAGGGGGGUCGCUGGAGAGGAGGGCGGACUGUGGAUCGGAGGUAGGGAGAGGGGCGAGGGGAGUGCGCG
rnacentral:lncRNA from 1 species